rnacentral:lncRNA from 1 species
CUACGGGGUAAGUUCUGUGCUGUCACCACACACGCACACUUAGAAAGGAAAUGAAGUAGCCCUUUUUAAUACCCAUAACGCACAUGUAUACAAAGAUGCUUCGUAACAUGUCUAUGGCUAAAACCUUAUGUGAACAAAGAAUCUGGUAUUUUGAAAUUAAUAGAAAUACAUAUUCUGGGCCUGACAGUAAGACCCAGGAGACUGAGGCAAGAAGAUUGCAGGCUCAAAGCCAGUCAGGUCUACAGAGUGAGUUCAAGGCUAGCCUGAUCAUCUCUCCAGAUGCUGUCUCGAAACAGAAAAUGAAAAAGAAGGCUGGAGAGGUAGCUCAAGGGUAGAACACUUGGCCAUCAUGCAAGAGGCCCUAGGUUCAAUCCCAGUACUGAAUUAAAAAGGAAGAGAGGGCAAAUAUUCCCAUCCAAUCAAUAUGGUGGUCGACUAGAACAACUAUAAAGAGGGGGCAGGGACUUAUGGAAAGCUGCUUUUAAAAAUUUGUUUCUUGGAAUUGGAAAAAAAUAAAAAAA